rnacentral:lncRNA from 1 species
AUUGGAUUAUGCUUUCCCCUUGGCCGCUCUUGGGGCUCAGGUCUCCCUGAUCUCCCUCCGCCUUUAUCCCGCCGGCUCCAUUGAGUAAUAGGGAGGACGCUCGGCCCCAGGCUGCCGGGACCAAGACGAGGGAUCAGGCCAGGGACGGGGGAGGCGUGUGAUUCCCCCGGAGCUGGACACAACGGGUUGAACUCUGCUUCUCACUCCCCCAUCCUUU